rnacentral:rRNA from 1 species
UUCCGGGCCUUGUACACACCGCCCGUCACACCACGAAAGUUGGCAAUACCCGAAGCCGGUGGCCUAACCCGCAAGGGAGGGAGCCGUCUAAGGUAGGGUCGAUGAUUGGGGUG